GCCGAAGUGGCGGAACUGGUAGACGCGCAUGGUUCAGGACCAUGUCCCGCUUGCGGGAUGAGGGUUCGAGUCCCUCCUUCGGCACCA
rnacentral:tRNA from 3 species